rnacentral:rRNA from 1 species
AAUGUUUAAAAUUUAUAAUGAAAGAGUUAUUGAUAGUAAAGGGUAAAAUUGAGUUGCUGUUAUGUAUUGGUUGAUUAAGAUAAAUUUUAAUUGAAGCUAAGAAAAUUUAGUUAUAAACUAGGAUUAGAUACCCUAUUAUUCUAAAAAGGAACCUGUAAGACUGAAUUAGUAAGAGAUAUAUACUUUAAAAUUAAAAAAUUUGGCGGUGAUUUAAUCUUUUCAGAGGAAUUUGUUUCUUAAUCGAUAAACCACGAAGAAUCUUACUUACUUUUGUUUUCAGUUUGUAUACCAUCAUUAUCAGGUAAUUCUUAGAGGGUAAAAUUACUAAAUAUAAAUGGUUAUGAAAAUUAGAUCAUGGUGCAGCUAAUAGGUAAGUUGAAAUGAAUUACAAUAAAUUGUUUUAUAAUGGAUUGGUAAUAGAAAAUUAUUAUGAAGGAGGAUUUGAUUGUAUUGUAAGUUUAAUAAGCUUACAGGAUAUAAGCUCUAAAUCAUGUACAUAUCGCCCGUCGCUUUCAUUUAUAAAU